rnacentral:rRNA from 1 species
CUGCUGCCUCCCGUAGGAGCUUGGACCGUGUCUCAGUUCCAAUGUGGGGGACCUUCCUCUCAGAACCCCUAUCCAUCGUCGUCUUGGUGGGCCGUUACCCCGCCAACUAACUAAUGGAACGCAUCCCCAUCGAUAACCGAAAUUCUUUAAUAUCAAGAUCAUGCGACCUUGAUAUCCUAUCGGAUAUUAAUCUUUCUUUCGAAAGGCUAUCCCCGAGUUAUCGGCAGGUUGGAUACGUGUUACUCACCCGUGCGCCGGUCGCCA